rnacentral:rRNA from 1 species
ACGCGAAGAACCUUACAACGCGAAGAACCUUAUAACGCGAAGAACCUUACCUACUUGACACAGAGAACUUCAGAGAUGGAUUGGUGCCUGGGGACUGAGACAGGUGCUGCAUGGCUGGAGCGUGUUGUGAAAUGUUGGGUUAAGCCGCAACGAGCGCAACCCUUGAUUAGUUGCUACGAAAGGGCACUAAUGAGACUGCCGGUGACAAACCGGAGGAAGGUGGGGAUGACGAAGCAUGGCCCUUAUGGGUAGGGCUACACGAUACAAUGGGGAACAGAGGGGCCAACCCGCGAGGGGGAGCCAACCAGAAACCCGAGUAGCGGAGCAGUGCAACGACUGCGUGAAGGGAAGCUAGUAAGCGGAAGCAUGGCGGUGAAUACGUCCGGGUUGUACACACCG